AUCGAAAUUAUUGGUGAGGGUUGUAGCUGGCCUUUCGAGGCAUGUGCACGCUCGAGCCCUUAAUCCACUUUACACUUGUGCACUUAAUGUAGGUCGCCCUUAAAAAAGGUGACCUAUGUCUUAUCACCAACCCAUCGUAUGUCUCAUAGAAUGUAAUCGAUAUCCUCGCCCUGAAAAAGCGUUGAUAAACUUAUACAACUUUCAACAACGGAUCUCUUGGCUCUCGCAUCGAUGAAGAACGCAGCGAAAUGCGACAAGUAAUGUGAAUUGCAGAUUUUCAGUGAAUCAUCGAAUCUUUGAACGCACCUUGCGCUCCUUGGUAUUCCGAGGAGCAUGCCUGUUUGAGUGUCAUUAAAUUCUCAACUCCAAGGGUUUCACGACCUUUCGGAGAUUGGACUUGGAGGUGCUGGCCGCAUAUUGGUCGGCUCCUCUCAAAUGCAUCAGCGGAAUUCAACCUUUGGCUUCCGGAUGUCAGUGUGAUAAUCAUGUUGCGCUGUCGUUUGAUCCCUCAGAGUCCGCUUAUAAUGGUCUUCGGACAAAAUCAUCAUCAAAUUUGACCUCAAAUCAGGUAGGACUACCCGCUGAACUUAAGCAU
rnacentral:sRNA from 1 species